CUUUGACAAGAAGAAUACUUUCUAUUACUUUAAAUUGAUCAAGGGUGUUUUUACAAUGAACAAGCUAAUGAGCUUAUAUAGGCUCAGCUACACGUCCUAAUAAUGUAAAACAAGAAACAAAUCGCUCAAAAUUAAUUACACUUGUCGUUGAGACUUUAUGAACCAAUUCGGCAAAAUAAGGCAAGUAGAGAGAUGCCUUGAGUCUUGAAAGCUUGGGUGCGAAUCUAUGACUCCUUGGAGUGUCUAGGUUCAUUGUAGGAAGCUUCAAGACGUGCAUAAGGGAAUAAGGAAGGAGUAUUUGCAGCUUGAUUUCCUUUUGCUCCAUGUAUGGCAAGUAGUGACUCAUCGGCUUCUUGUGUGGUAAGUUGUACCAAAGAUCGUGUGGGACAAGUCUUGUGUGGCCUAAAAGUUCUCCUAGUUUCCAUAUGCAGCUUUGGAACACGUCCUCAUGAAGGUAAAGGAGAGUUUCCUUAUAUCGCUCUAAGUAGAUAAACGACCUUGAUUCAAAGGGUGGUUUGGACUUGGGUCUUCUCUUGGG
rnacentral:lncRNA from 1 species